rnacentral:tRNA from 1 species
GCUUGGCUGGUUCAGUCUGCAGAGCAUGCGACUCUUGAUCUCAGGAUCGUGAGUUCAAACCCCACGUUGGGCG